GACGGAGGAUGCAAGCGUUAUCCGGAAUGAUUGGGCGUAAAGCGUCCGCAGGUGGCAGUUCAAGUCUGCUGUCAAAGACCGGGGCUUAACUUCGGAAAGGCAGUGGAAACUGAACAGCUAGAGUAUGGUAGGGGCAGAGGGAAUUCCUGGUGUAGCGGUGAAAUGCGUAGAGAUCAGGAGGAACACCAAUGGCGAAGGCAGCUCGCUGGGACGGUACUGACGCUGAGGCGCGAAAGCGUGGGGAGCAAACAGG
rnacentral:rRNA from 1 species